CGACCCGACUCACUCUCUUCCUCUUUCUCUCUCGCGCGAUCUCCCCGACGCCUACGCCGACGCCUGCUGUGACCAUCGGCGAUCUUCUCCUUCUUCUUCUCUCGGAGGCGCCGACGGCGAGGGAUCUCGGAACGUUGGGAAGGAGGGAUCCUAUUCCUUUCCCGACCUUUCCUUCUCCUCUGGUCUCGGCGAACCGCGGCGACGGGGCUUCGAUUUGGGGUUUGCGCUUAUUGUUGGAAAGGGACCGAGGGCACCGGCGUUAGAUCUGGCCAGCGUCGAACGAUUGUGUGAGGUCACGAUCAUUAUCCCUCUCCGAUCUCCUUCCCUUGCUCGUCGGCAAGCACAGAUCGUGCCCUAGCCGGGAUUUGUGGAGGUUUUGGUUGAGAAUUAGGGUUCUGACCUCUUCUCUGUGCGUUAGCAAGAACAAGACCGAGCCCUAAUCGGGAUAUUGGAGGGGUGCUGUGGUGAUUUCAGCCAUCACAGAUUGAUUGGGUUGGUUCCUCCACCGGAGUUGUGAUCAUCUCCGGCGAUUGAAGCAGUAGAGGACCUUGAUCUAUACGAGCAGCGUGACACGGGGUGGUUCUGUUGAUACGAGAUAUCUGGAGGCGGGUAGUAGGUAGAUGAUAUGGAGUUACUUGGAGUAUGCUGCCAGCCGGUCCCAUUUCCCGCGUUACAUCUGAGGAUUCUUAUCGGUUUUUAGUCUUUUACUAUUAGCAUUUUAUGUUUCAUGGAUUUGGUGUUGUCAUUUUAUACUAUGACUUGAUACGUGUAUUGUGGACUUAUACCUGUGGUGUGUUUUUGUGGACUUUCGAUUAUGUGGGUUUCAUAUUCGUUUUCCGCUGAGCUUUUUGAUAUA